rnacentral:rRNA from 1 species
UACGAGGGGGGCAAGCGUUGUCCGGAUUCAUUGGGCGUAAAGAGUUCGUAGGCGGUCUAAACAGUCAAAAUUGAAAUACCACGGCUUAACCGUGGGCCCGGUUUUGAUACUUUUAGACUUGAGUUAGGUAGAGGUAAGCGGAAUUCCUGGUGUAGCGGUGAAAUGCGUAGAUAUCAGGAGGAACACCAAAGGCGAAGGCAGUUUACUGGGCCUUAACUGACGCUGAGGAACGAAAGCAUGGGUAGCGAAC